GUUACUAACCCUAGUUAUAAUGUUAACAGCAAUCUUAGAGAGUAUCAUAUAACACAAAUUAUAGUGGAUACAUUAAUCAUAAAGGGGAUAAAUUGGGGAACAGUAGGACACAAUAAGGGUGGGGAAGUGAAGGUCUUGUUGAAUGUAGAGGAAGAGAUAGAGCCUACAAUCCUGACUCCUCCUUUCACCUAUAUUCAUACAACUCCUUCACUAAUGGAUAAUGGGAGCAGACCUGAGUGUUAGGAGAUUAGAGUGGUCUCUAGUGGUAAUUUCCCAAUAUGUAUACUGAGACCUACCCCUAUAGUCAGGAAUAUUACUUUCCAAUUGAUUCGACUAACAGAUUGGCUAGUUUAAUCACACUUUCAGAACUGUUCUAGGGUCACAUCCACUAUUAAUAAGGUUUUAGUCAGAUGGGUGACAAGAAGUAGAACUAGGAAUAGGAGGGUUGUCUUGGG